GACAGAGGGUGCAAACGUUGUUCGGAAUUACUGGGCGUAAAGCGCGUGUAGGCGGCCAUGCAAGUCGGAUGUGAAAGCCCUCGGCUCAACCGGGGAAGUGCACUCGAAACUGCAAGGCUAGAGUCUCGGAGAGGAUCGUGGAAUUCUCGGUGUAGAGGUGAAAUUCGUAGAUAUCGAGAGGAACACCGGUGGCGAAGGCGGCGAUCUGGA
rnacentral:rRNA from 1 species